CGUACGUCACUGCUACAGUCCCCUACCUUUUGCUGUUCAUCCUCUUCAUCCGUGGAGUGACGCUCCCAGCAGCCGAACAAGGACUGAGACAUUUCCUCAAUCCUGAUUUUGACAUUCUCGCAUAUCCACAUGUGCGGACCGUUUCUAUGACAACACUGAGGACAUGAUCGGGUACAAACCAUUUCCUGUGCUGAAGUACUGCUGGUUGUUCAUCACGCCGCUCCUCUGCUGGGUGAGAUACACCUGCGACUUGAUUCAUCAAAUUUAAUGUCCAUUUCCUCAUGUUUUUAUUAUUUUCUACCUUAAAUUACUGAAGCUCACAGAUGUUUUGCUGCCCCUUAUCUUUGCCUCUUCCUGUUUGCCUCUCUCCUGGCAUUUCUAUCUGCGCUGAGUGAGUUUUUUUCAUUUUACAACAUCGAUGGGGAAGGAGAGGAGCGACUGUUGCUUUUAUCUCAAAAUGUGGACUCAUCUUUUUUUUAAAAACACACUUCAACGACAUAAUUAGUGCAAGACCAGAGAGAAUACACCAGUCAGCCACAACACUGAAACCACUGACAGGUGAAGUGAAUAACAUCGAUCACAAGCUUGAGUCCAAACAAACAUCCAUGGAAUUCUCCAUGGAAACAUUUAUCGCUGUGAAAUGUCUUUCAAUGCAGUAAAUAAGUCAGAAUGAGUAUUUCUGAACGCACCACUUGCAUCAUCUUACUCCAUUGCUGAAAACAAGCCAACAGAACUUGCUAGCUAGCUUGCUAAUGUCUGCAGAGAAUUGUUUUGCCUCAAGCUAAGCCCUACCCACCAAAAAAACCAUCAUAGUGUUUACUAUCAGUACAAGAGUCUGUUAUUAUUUCCAUUACUUUUUAAGCAGUCUGCAAGUAAUGGAAGGUUAUUUCGUGUUGAUACAAAAAUGUCCCAGCUGACCCCGCUCUCCCCUACAACAAUGGAUUCCCCCUUUAAAACAUUCAUUGAGUAGCUGUGUGAUCAAAUGUAUAAUGCAGACAAACUGUGACAUCCUACAAUGUUAAUUUUGAGGCUAAAUUUGAAUAUGCCUUGCUGAAUUUUUUAUGUUAAUGCAAUGGUGCUAUCAUGCAUAUUAAAUGUUUGUACAAUGCACAAUUUACUUUGUUUGUCAAUGAGAUUAUUGUUUUGCUUUUUUUAUUGAUAUGCCAAAUGGAACAGAUUUUUGUUGUGCACAUUAUCUUCAAUUCAUUACACGUGUUGAUACCUGCAGACAAUGGUGACGAACCUCAUGAAUCUCAUUAAAAGUAUCUGUAUGUUAAAUAUC